AGUGAACGCUGGCGGUAGGCCUAACACAUGCAAGUCGAACGGCAGCACAGUAAGAGCUUGCUCUUACGGGUGGCGAGUGGCGGACGGGUGAGGAAUACAUCGGAAUCUACUUUUUCGUGGGGGAUAACGUAGGGAAACUUACGCUAAUACCGCAUACGACCUACGGGUGAAAGCAGGGGAUCUUCGGACCUUGCGCGAUUGAAUGAGCCGAUGUCGGAUUAGCUAGUUGGCGGGGUAAAGGCCCACCAGGGCGACGAUCCGUAGCUGGUCUGAGAGGAUGAUCAGCCACACUGGACCUGAGACACGGUCCAGACUCCUACGGGAGGCAGCAGUGGGGAAUAUUGGACAAUGGGCGCAAGCCUGAUCCAGCCAUACCGCGUGGGUGAAGAAGGCCUUCGGGUUGUAAAGCCCUUUUGUUGGGAAAGAAAAGCAGCAGGUUAAUACCCCGCUGUUCUGACGGUACCCAAAGAAUAAGCACCGGCUAACUUCGUG
rnacentral:rRNA from 1 species